GAUGAAGAACGCAGCGAAAUGCGAUAAGUAAUGUGAAUUGCAGAAUCCAGUGAAUCAUCGAAUCUUUGAACGCACAUUGCGCCCCCUGGCAUUCCGGGGGGCAUGCCUGUCCGAGCGUCAUUUCUGCCCUCCAGCCCGGCUGGGUGUUGGGCGCUGUCCCCCCGGGGACACGCCCCAAAGGCAGUGGCGGCGCCGCGUCGGGUCCUCGAGCGUAUGGGGCUUUGUCACCCGCUCGGGACGGACUCGUCGGCGCUGGUCUUCCUCCAGGCGACCCUUCGGGGCUCGUCUUCCUUCGGUUGACCUCGGAUCAGGUAGGGUUACCCGCUGAACUUAAGCAUAUCAAUAAGCGGAGGA
rnacentral:misc_RNA from 1 species